ACCUGACUGAACACAGAAUGAGAGAGGAAGACUCCUGAAUAUAUUUUCAGCACUAAGGGGCAAGGAUGAACCUUCAUCUUUGAACAGUGAAAAAAAGUGGCUAUGGUGCUAUAACAGAAGAUCUAGUUAAAGUCUACCUUCAGCUGUGCACUCAUGCCUUGAUCAGGUUCCAUUUGGAUUACCGCACUGCACUCUAUAUGAGGCUUGAAGAUCACCCAGAAAAACUUCAAUCGGUCCAGAACACAGCACUGCACACAGUAACGGGGACCCCAGGCUUUCCCAUGUAUCACCUUUACUGCACGAACUGCACUGGUUUUGUCAGCGCAAAAGAUCAGAUCCACACAUGAAGGUCCAAUUAAACUGAUUUAUUGCUAAUCGUGCUUAUGCACAGGAA